GGAUUAGAUACCCUGGUAGUCCAUGCCGUAAACGUUGGGCACUAGAUGUGGGGGACAUUCCACGUUUUCCGCGUCGUAGCUAACGCAUUAAGUGCCCCGCCUGGGGAGUACGGCCGCAAGGCUAAAACUCAAAGGAAUUGACGGGGGCCCGCACAAGCGGCGGAGCAUGCUGAUUAAUUCGAUGCAACGCGAAGAACCUUACCAAGGCUUGACAUGCACCGGGCGACUGCAGAGAUGUGGUUUUCUUCGGACUGGUGCACAGGUGGUGCAUGGUUGUCGUCAGCUCGUGCCG
rnacentral:rRNA from 1 species